UACGGGGGGAGCAAGCGUUGUUCGGAUUUACUGGGCGUAAAGGCUCGUAGGCGGCCAACUAAGUCGGACGUGAAAUCCCUCAGCUUAACUGGGGAACUGCGUCUGAUACUGGAUGGCUUGGAUUCGGGAGAGGGAUGCGGAAUUCCAGGUGUAGCGGUGAAAUGCGUAGAUAUCUGGAGGAACACCGGUGGCGAAGGCGGCAUCCUGGACCGAUAUUGACGCUGAGGAGCGAAAGCCAGGGGAGCAAACGGG
rnacentral:rRNA from 1 species